rnacentral:miRNA from 1 species
CUCCAGAUGUUGCUGAACUACAACUCCCAUGAUUCUGUGAAUGAAAUAGGCUGAGAAUCAUGGGAGUUGUACUUCAGCAACAUCUGGAG